GUUCGGAUUGCAGUCUGCAACUCGACUGCAUGAAGCUGGAAUCGCUAGUAAUCGCGAAUCAGAAUGUCGCGGUGAAUACGUUCCCGGGUCUUGUACACACCGCCCGUCACACCAUGGGAGUUGGUAACGCCCGAAGUCAGUGACCCAACCGGAAGGAGGGAGCUGCCGAAGGCGGGACCGGUAACUGGGGUGAAGUCGUAACAAGGUACC
rnacentral:rRNA from 1 species